AUUGAACGCUGGCGGCAGGCCUAACACAUGCAAGUCGAGCGGAUGACGGGAGCUUGCUCCUGGAUUCAGCGGCGGACGGGUGAGUAAUGCCUAGGAAUCUGCCUGGUAGUGGGGGACAACGUUUCGAAAGGAACGCUAAUACCGCAUACGUCCUACGGGAGAAAGCAGGGGACCUUCGAGCCUUGCGCUAUCAGAUGAGCCUAGGUCGGAUUAGCUAGUUGGUGAGGUAAUGGCUCACCAAGGCGACGAUCCGUAACUGGUCUGAGAGGAUGAUCAGUCACACUGGAACUGAGACACGGUCCAGACUCCUACGGGAGGCAGCAGUGGGGAAUAUUGGAUAAUGGGCGAAAGCCUGAUCCAGCCAUGCCGCGUGUGUGAAGAAGGUCUUCGGAUUGUAAAGCACUUUAAGUUGGGAGGAAGGGUACUUACCUAAUACGUGAGUAUUUUGACGUUACCGACAAAAUAAGCACCGGCUAACUCUGUGCCAGCCGCCGCAGUAAUAC
rnacentral:rRNA from 1 species